rnacentral:rRNA from 1 species
UGGGGAAUUUUGGACAAUGGGCGCAAGCCUGAUCCAGCCAUGCCGCGUGAGUGAAGAAGGCCUUCGGGUUGUAAAGCUCUUUCGGACGGGAAGAAAUGGCGUGCUCUAACAUAGCCUGUCGAUGACGGUACCGUAAGAAGAAGCACCGGCUAACUACGUGCCAGCAGCCGCGGUAAUACGUAGGGUGCGACCGUUAAUCGGAAUUACUGGGCGUAAAGCGUGCGCAGGCGGUUUUGUAAGACAGAAGUGAAAUCCCCGGGCUUAACCUGGGAACUGCGUUUGUGACUGCAAGGCUGGAGUACGGCAGAGGGGGGUGGAAUUCCACGUGUAGCAGUGAAAUGCGUAGAGAUGUGGAGGAACACCGAUGGCGAAGGCAGCGCCCUGGGCCUGUAUUGACGCUCAUGCACGAAAGCGUGGGGAGCAAACA